rnacentral:lncRNA from 1 species
CCUGAUAUAUUCCUUCGUUUCCUGGUAAGUUUACCUACGAUGGUUGUGUGCUAGGUAAUAGGCUAACUCUUUUGUUUGAAUCAUUAUCAUUAACUCAUUAGCUCUACUCCUAAUGUCUGAGUUGGUAGGAUUGCGUCCACGGCUUUUUUCGUCCCACCACUUUCAUCUGGUAUUUUUUCGUCCCCUCCCCCAACCCCACCCCACCUACUCAGCCCAACAAAACCCCCCAAAAAACCACUCCUAUCGAUACCUCGAGGACAUGACGCGAUCGUCGUGCGAUCUCGAGGUCAGAGCACUGCCUCCCCUCGAUCGCCACCUCUGACGUACGAUCUUGCCGCCACCGACCUCACAGAGGAGAUGCUGCCGCAGACGUCCAGGAACACCGCCGCGGACGUCCGGGAUCGCCGCCCCGACCUCCCAGAGGAGAUGACGCCGCCGCCGACCUCCGAGGGGAGACGCCGCCGCCACCUGCGCUAAAUCCUAGGCAUACACCACCGUGCUCCCGCCGUCGGGUUCCACAACCGUUCGCCACCAUGCUAUUGCCUUCCUCCCUCAGGUUCAUCUCCCCUUUUUUCUGUUUGGAUCAAGACGGCGAGAAUCAAAUCUGAGACGGAGAGAAUCGGAUCAGGAUAGAGAGACGGAAUGAGGAUUGAUGCCAUGGGAUCCCUUGCUAAAAUUGAGAGGGAGGGAGGGAGGGAGGGAAAGGGUAUCCUUGUGCAGGGCUGUUUGGACCUCGUUCAGUCCAUUUUAGCAUGAAAAAAGUUGCCACGGGCUAAUGCAACGGCCUGCACGGCACACCACGGCCUGCUACCUAAGGGUUUGCCUCAGUUUUCCGUUUUUUGGGUAAAGCAAAUUUCCCCCAAUAUACAGAUAUGCUAUGACAUAAACAUGUCAAAACCAUCAAGGUUAAAUUUAUAUGCACUGGAAUUUUAUAGAUUUGUUUUAGCAUGUGCAAGUCUAUUAGAUAGUAUUUUGGACAGAGUUAAGGAUAGUCUUUUGUGGCUAACUAUAGUAUUUUGUGGCCUAAGUGUAUAAGUGAAAUGGCCUAAUCUAUGUACUCCGGUGAUUGUUGGAUCUGCAUGGGAUGACAGAUGGGAGGGGGGCAGUUACAAUGUCACUUGCUACUGGAUCUCGGUCCACCGAGCAGCCGCUUCUGAGAAGAGAAAAUGUUCUAUAUUGACAUGCAUGUGAUUAAUAAUGAAUGGUACAUGGUUCCUACACUUAGUUGAUAUUGUGUUUAAAUUUUCUUUACUUGAUCAUGUUACUUGCAGGAAAUUGCCAUAUUUGGACACAGAUUCCUGAUUUCCUCACUUCCUCAAGGCGAAGAGGCGAAGGCUAUUGUCGAUGUGCGAAUGUGGCACCACUACUCUUUACUGUGAUGAGGAGGUACAACUUCUAACUGAGUGUGAAUUCAAUACUAUCUUUAUUUUGCAAAAGCUAUACUGGUCUUCGUGUUUAUUAUGCAUUAUUCCUUUUAGACUUUAGGAUUGCUAUAUUCAAGUUUUGCUUCUGGCCUGCUUUGGAUUAAGGUAGAUAUUUGUUCACGGGCCGAAAAAUCUGAUUUUGGUUAUGCAGUUCAUUUUCUUACAUCGCACACGACAAAGUAGUAACUAAUUACUUUACCCAGGAUGAGAUAUUUGGAUGAAAUUGGACUUAAGUUUUUGCAAGCUUGAUGCACACUUAAAUACUGGUGAUAUCACAUUCAUAACUAAUUUGAUUUCUCCCAAGCUACAGUAUGGUCACUACUCUAUUUCUUGAAGGAUAAAUCGAUAUUUAAAUAAUUGACGUAUUCUAGCAGCAUAUGAAGUUAAAGUAGAGGUAGAACUAGAACCGUACAAGUACUUUGAUGUCGUGUGUCAUGUACUGUGAUCACAAGACAAUUUGAAUGUUCUACCUUAUUUACAGUUUACUCAUGCAAGCUUCUUUAAUUUGAAAUAAAAAUGAGUAUUCAGCCAGACGAAUUGCUCUUACAGUCCAUUCCUGUUGAACAUGUAUGUUUCUAGGAUGAUACCAAUUCAAAUGGUUUCUUGGUUUCUUGAAUGACAGGUUUGCAAACCUUUAUACGAGUUUUGAGUUUCGACCACAUCUAAAAUGAUUUCUAUGUAGAUGAGUGACUUGCUACAUGUGUGGUGAAAUGUGUUUUUGACCACAUUUAAAAUGAUUUCUAUCUAACUUUACUCAGAUUCAGUGAAGGAGAAUCUAAUGAGGAGUCGGAUGUGCAGUCAUCAAAAGCCCCAUGACAAACUCUGUGCCUGUCGCUCCCAUCAACAACAACCAAAUGGUGUAACAUUCCUUAGGUCUUCAUGCAUUUAACCUAUUAUUACUGGACUGGUUUUGGUAAGCCAACUAAGAAACAUUUUGAUCUCAAAAAAUAAUAUUUGUAACUAAGGAGCAAUAUCACGGCAAUCUUUGGUAAGCAAAAGUACUCAGAUUUUUUUGGUAAGCCAACUAAGAAACAUUUUCAUCUACCAAAGAAACUCAGAUUUCUUUAAAGGACAGACCCAGUGCAUAGAAGCUCCCACACAAGGUGGGGUCUGGGGAGGGAUUAUAGGAACCUAGUCUUACCCCUGCAAAGUGCAAUGCAGAGAGGCUGGUUCGAACCCAGGACCUCUUGGCACAAGUGGGGAGGACUUCACCAUUGCGCUAGGCGUGCCCUCAAAGAAACUCAGAUUUCUUUGGUAAAUAAAAACUAAGAAACAUAUUUUUACAAAGAAAACUUUGGUAACCAACAAAUUUAGAUCAAUUGAAGUAUUUAAUCAAUAAUUUUCUACAGUAUGUUUACUGAUAUAGGUGGCACAAUAGAACGAAAUGCUGACCAGGCCAGCUAACUUAAUCAGCCUGGGAUCAACUUCCUAAACCCGACACUCCUUCCUAACACACCAUCCUUCCAUGUUGUCGAUCCUUCGUUCCCCGUCUCUGAUCAUAUCUGAUCUAGGGUUAAUAGUCAUUCUUUUUGUGCUUCUCCCACAAAAGCUUUUUCCUGCAAUAUGCAUCAAUUCGUCUUUUCCAGGAUUCUCAGAGUUCACGUUCGCAAGGAACUCACAAAUCUUGGUGGCUAAAAGGUGCCCAAGCUUAGGCAACAACACUCCGGCCACAACAAUUUCGUCAGCCAUAGGAACCACACCUCCAAAGGCCUGAGCGAGAGUGAGCGUGUGUCGACCAUGCCUGGACCACCACUCUCCACAUAUGUAUACUACGGCUGGCUAGGCUCCAAUAGAGGCUGAGAGACUCCUAAUAUAUGGUCCGUAGUCAUUUCAUUUCGCUACAUUGAUCGAAGCCGCGAGUCAAUCGAAAGGAAAUCCCCCACCGUCGAAGGAAGUCAAUCUCACCUCGAGUCCCGACCCCACCUCUCGUUUUCCCUUCCUAAUCUCCCGAUAAAGAUCCACAUCCCUCCUCCACCGCCAUCUCCAUCCUCUGCACCCCUCGCCUUUGCAAUCCAUCCUCCAUCCAGUUUUCCUUUUGUUUUCUAUCCCAAAAAAUCAGAUCGCAAUCCAUCUUUCCUUUAAUGCACAUCUCUCCUGUAAAAAAUCAGAACACAUGCCCGUCCUUCUCAUUAACAUGCGUUUCUUCUGAAUAUCUGGGAUGCAAUCCUCUCCUUCCCACUAAUCUCUUAUAUAUAUGCCUUUCCUAAAGAUAUCUCGGUCCUGCCCAGCUUGAUCUAAUUCAAUUUAGAUGAAGGAUACUUUCAGGAACAAGACGAUCUACUCAAAGGCUGGCUUGCUCCGCGGCCUCCACCUCGCCCACCUCAUCCCGUAGACAUUGUCGUCCUCCACACGACCACACCAGCUUUCACGAUUUGGGUCUAUGGCAGGCAUAAACUAUGAGAAUUUGACUGGUCGUUUUCAUCGCAGGCGGCUGCGGCGAGGACGUGUGGAAGGCAACAGCUCGGACUUGAUGCCCUUUGCCUCCGUCAAGGACACUGUCAAUGGUGCGUAAUCUCAAACCUCCUUUUGACGUAUUUGUGCUCGUGAAACAAGUAUUCGGCCUGGCCGAUGGCAAAACGCAAAUAUGGCAAAGCUGGCUUGACUUGAGAUGGAUUGAAUCUGGUACAACGUGGCUAGCCAAAAGGUGGCUAGCAAAGCACGCACACACACUGGCAUGUGUAACAUAUUUGUUGUUUGUAAACUCACAAUGAUUACAAUGUGAGCUACAUGCAUUUAUACUAACAUAACAUCAUCUGCCUAAGUAGAGUUAGGAUUUCUAUACUACUUGAACAAUCAAUGAGAUCUAUAGGAAAGCGGAAGAGAGAACUAGCAAGCCGGUGAUUUUACUGUUUUAUCUAGAUUCAUUGUGCUAAAUCAAGUAGUUCUAACCUAGCUGUUACAGGAUUCACCGAUUUAGUCCAUGUUUUGCUUUUCCAGUUUUAGUGAAUGGGGUGGAUUUUGAAAUCUCAUAUUUCAGUUAGUUUUUGGUCGGUCAGCUUGAGUAGUAGGGUCCGUUUGGAUGGAAGCCGUUAACUGAGGACACAUGCAAGCGUUUGGAUGGCUGCCCAAAAUUCUGAUGUAGCCAAUUUUUUGUUUAAUACAUUCAGUUUUUCCACAAACCACGGGGCGAUUCAGCGGAGGCGAAACCUUCUGCUAAAAAGUUGGCACGCCUAGCGUUGGCAGGGCGGUUGCAGGCGCUAUCCAAACAACCCCGUAUUCUCUUUUUUUUUCUCAGUUGGUAUUUCAUAUAGGCCACCUUGCUAUGUUAUAUAAGAUACUCAUAUAGGAGGUCAAGCUUGAAAAAGGUAGAAUUUUCAACAAGUCAAGAAUCAUGUUAACCAGGUUGUCAUGAUAUUUCCGCUGCUUCAAAAUGCUCCAUGAGAUGUUAGGUAACAUGCCUCUGAAUGUUGAUUUCUUUUUACAGAAUUUUGACUGUUUAUGUAGACUUUGGUUCAUUAUGACAACGGCAAAGAUCACUUUGAGGCGCUCGCCAUGGCAGACGGGGAUGGGGUGGCGCCGGGUACACUGUUGAUAACAAAAAUGUUGUGACGGUUCCAAAUGAGAACUGAACUUACUGCACUAAUAUUCAGUUAUAUAUCAAGUCGGCAAAUGUUUGUGUGUUCUGUAAAAUAGCAUGGCAAAUUUUAGUCCAAAUGUUGUCUGUCUUCAGUUAUCUAAAAACUAGCAUGGCCAAUUUGUACAUGAUACAAUUUUUCAGCAUGGCAAAUUAGUUAAUAAAUUGUAAAAAAGGUGGUACCAAAUAAACUUGUAUACGGUUAUGUAGCAUCCUAAUUUUUCGUAUAGCAACUAAGCCAUCAGUAUCCU